rnacentral:rRNA from 1 species
UACGUAGGGUGCGAGCGUUGUCCGGAAUUAUUGGGCGUAAAGGGCUCGUAGGCGGUCUGUCGCGUCGAAAGUGAAAACCCAGGGCUUAACCCUGGGCCUGCUUCCGAUACGGGCAGACUAGAGGUAUGCAGGGGAGAACGGAAUUCCUGGUGUAGCGGUGAAAUGCGCAGAUAUCAGGAGGAACACCGGUGGCGAAGGCGGAUCUCUGGGCCUUACCUGACGCUGAGGCGCGAAAGCUAGGGGAGCGAACAGG